AUUGAACGCUGGCGGCAGGCCUAACACAUGCAAGUCGAGCGGGGUUUUCGGACCUAGCGGCGGACGGGUGAGUAAUGCGUAGGAAGCUGCCCGAUAGAGGGGGAUACCAGUUGGAAACGACUGUUAAUACCGCAUAAUGUCUACGGACCAAAGUGUGGGACCUUCGGGCCACAUGCUAUCGGAUGCGCCUACGUGGGAUUAGCUAGUUGGGGAGGUAAUGGCUCACCAAGGCGACGAUCUCUAGCUGGUUUGAGAGGAUGAUCAGCCACACUGGAACUGAGACACGGUCCAGACUCCUACGGGAGGCAGCAGUGGGGAAUAUUGGACAAUGGGCGCAAGCCUGAUCCAGCCAUGCCGCGUGUGUGAAGAAGGCCUUCGGGUUGUAAAGCACUUUCAGCGAGGAGGAAGGGGUGUGUGUUAAUAGUACACACCUUUGACGUUACUCGCAGAAGAAGCACCGGCUAACUACGUGCCAGCAGCCGCGGUAACAC
rnacentral:rRNA from 1 species